GUGCUCACUUCGGCAGCACGUAUACUAAAAUUGGAACGAUACAGAGGUAAGCAUGGCCCCUGCACAAGGAUGACAUGUACAAUAAUGAAUAAUACAAUUUCAAG
ensembl:snRNA U6 U6 spliceosomal RNA